ACAAUGGUGGUUCAGUGGUAGAAUUCUCAUCUCUUAUGUGGGAGAUGCGGGUUCGAUUCCCUGCCAAUGCC
rnacentral:tRNA from 1 species